rnacentral:rRNA from 1 species
AACGACUCUCGGCAACGGAUAUCUCGGCUCUCGCAUCGAUGAAGAACGUAGCGAAAUGCGAUACUUGGUGUGAAUUGCAGAAUCCCGUGAACCAUCGAGUUUUUGAACGCAAGUUGCGCCCGAAGCCUYUGGCUGAGGGNNNNUCUGCCUGGGCG